rnacentral:rRNA from 1 species
UACGUAGGGUGCAAGCGUUAAUCGGAAUUACUGGGCGUAAAGCGUGCGCAGGCGGUGAUGUAAGACAGAUGUGAAAUCCCCGGGCUCAACCUGGGAACUGCAUUUGUGACUGCAUCGCUGGAGUGCGGCAGAGGGGGAUGGAAUUCCGCGUGUAGCAGUGAAAUGCGUAGAUAUGCGGAGGAACACCGAUGGCGAAGGCAAUCCCCUGGGCCUGCACUGACGCUCAUGCACGAAAGCGUGGGGAGCAA